rnacentral:lncRNA from 1 species
UAUAUUACUACUACAUUAAAAUUCAAAAAAAGUGUGACUGCCAAAAGCAAAAUUAAUGGAGCAGUGCCUUAUAGUAUUGCUUUUGGUUCAGCAGCUGCUGCUGGCAUCAGCUGGUUCUGUCGUCUUCAUUGCUUGCUUGUGUACAGUAGUAGAUAAAAGGCUUUUACUGACAGAAACCCCCCUCGACUUUUUCGCGGGGGGUCUUUUACUCUGUAAUCACACAGUCACUACACUUCUGUACAUGUGUUUGUGUGUGUUUAUUUGUCAUUGUUUUGGCUGACCCUGCAACAGUAGGCCUAGCCUAGCUACGUACCUCAUCAAUA